rnacentral:rRNA from 1 species
CCUACGGGUGGCAGCAGUGAGGAAUAUUGGUCAAUGGACGGAAGUCUGACCCAGCCAUGCCGCGUGCAGGAAGACGGCUCUAUGAGUUGUAAACUGCUUUUGUACAAGGGUAAACCUGAAUACGUGUAUUCAGCUGAAAGUACUGUACGAAUAAGGAUCGGCUAACUCCGUGCCAGCAGCCGCGGUAAUACGGAGGAUCCAAGCGUUAUCCGGAUUGAUUGGGUUUAAAGGGUGCGUAGGCGGAUUGAUAAGUUAAAGGUGAAAGGUCCGAGCUUAACUCGGGAACUGCCUCUAAUACUGUUGAUCUAGAGAGUAGAUGCGGUAGGCGGAAUGUAUGGUGUAGCGGUGAAAUGCUUAGAGAUCAUACAGAACACCGAUUGCGAAGGCAGCUUACCAAUCUAUAUCUGACGUUGAGGCACGAAAGCGUGGGGAGCAAACAGGAUUAGAUACCCGGGUAGUC